rnacentral:lncRNA from 1 species
ACGAGGACGCGGUGUGUCAGUGUAAGAUCACCCCGAUGGCCGGAGGCCAGAGGGUGAUCUAACACUAACACACCAAGUCCAAAUGGGAUAACUAUUUUACAUCCCAGCUGUUUUAGAUUAGACGAAAAACCAUUUACAAUUCAUAAAAUCUAGUUUAGAACGCCACACAACCAUUAUAAUAUACUUUAUAUAUUACUAUAUGAUGUAUACCCUUAAUGACCCCGAACACGAUGAGUAGAUAUCAAAUAAUGUCAACUCGCCCCACUGGCCAAUCGGCCCACACUAUAUCGCCACUUAUAAAAAAAAAAUGCC